GACGAACGCUGGCGGCGUGCUUAACACAUGCAAGUCGAACGGAAAGGCCCUGCUUGCAGGGUGCUCGAGUGGCGAACGGGUGAGUAACACGUGGGUGAUCUGCCCCUUACUUUGGGAUAAGCCUGGGAAACUGGGUCUAAUACUGGAUAGGACCAUGCUGUAGGUGGUGUGGUGGAAAGAUUUUUUCGGUAAGGGAUGAGCUCGCGGCCUAUCAGCUUGUUGGUGGGGUAAUGGCCUACCAAGGCGUCGACGGGUAGCCGGCCUGAGAGGGUGGACGGCCACAUUGGGACUGAGAUACGGCCCAGACUCCUACGGGAGGCAGCAGUGGGGAAUAUUGCACAAUGGGCGCAAGCCUGAUGCAGCGACGCCGCGUGGGGGAUGACGGCCUUCGGGUUGUAAACGCCUUUCAGCCAUGACGAAGCCGCUGUUGGGGUGACGGUAGUGGGAGAAGAAGCACCGGCUAACUACGUG
rnacentral:rRNA from 1 species